rnacentral:rRNA from 1 species
AUACGUAGGGUGCGAGCGUUGUCCGGAAUUACUGGGCGUAAAGAGCUCGUAGGUGGUUUGUCGCGUCGUCUGUGAAAUUCCGGGGCUUAACUCCGGGCGUGCAGGCGAUACGGGCAUAACUUGAGUACUGUAGGGGAGACUGGAAUUCCUGGUGUAGCGGUGAAAUGCGCAGAUAUCAGGAGGAACACCGGUGGCGAAGGGGGGUCUCUGGGCAGUAACUGACGCUGAGGAGCGAAAGCAUGGGUAGCGAACAGGAUUAGAUACCCUGGUAGUCCAUGCCGUAAACGGUGGGCGCUAGGUGUAGGGGUCUUCCACGACUUCUGUGCCGUAGCUAACGCAUUAAGCGCCCCGCCUGGGGAGUACGGUCGCAAGGCUAAAACUCAAAGGAAUCGACGGGG